rnacentral:lncRNA from 1 species
GGAAUCAUGGGAAGAGAUUAGUGGCGAGAAGCGCCCACCCGGGAAGAGGAAGAAGCGCGAGAUACUGUGGGAUCCUAAGUUAAUUGGUCCUUCUUAAAGGCCAUGGGUAAAAGACUGAGAGCAUUUGUUCUUGAACUGUUUGAAAACACUGAACUGAGAUCUUCUUAUCAUCAGAGAGUCACACCAAGGAAUGUGAUUUCACGCUCCCUGAAGUCAACUUGUCAAGACCAUCUUUUUUCCAGAUGUGGGAAGGAUUGUCACAUAGCAUACUGUGAGGCAGAAGUAUCCAACUAGCACAUUCUGUCCCGGUGUGAUGAUGUGUCUAGGUGUGGAUUUGUAUUAUUUAUUCUGGUCAAGACAAAAUGUACUACUUCAACUAGAAAGAUUCAUUGUGUUCAACACUGUCCUGCACCAGCUGGAUCCUUCUUCAGGACCGAAGGAUCUAAUCCCCCAGAUGCUAGGAGCUGGGGGUGCUUUCCAAAGACAAUGCUCAGAUGUCAGCCUUCUCUGGGAAUUGCCCUCAGCUGAACAGUGCUACUUUGCCCAUGAAGUCACACCCCUUCCUAAAGGCAGCCUGCAUCCAGUGAUUGGUUGAUGCAGGGGUGCAAAGAGCCAGCCCUCUUGUCUCAGCCUGGGACAAUUCUAAAGGUCCUUCUUAGUGUUGAGGUCCCUUUGGUAGGAUAAUCAACUCAUCCUGGUUCACCAAGGAUUCAAGUCUCUGAAACCCCUUGUUCUUGCAUCCUGGGCAAACUGGGACAGUUGGUCACCCUUCCCAUGAAGUUAGCUGAAGCCUUUGUUGAGGCUGCUUCACUGUUCACCUUCUCCCUCUACCCAGCCCUGCUUCCAUCAUUUCUACUGGUAUUAGUCUAAGAACUUUCCCUAAGAAGCCUCUUGCACACUAAUCUGUGUCUCAGUCUACUUCCAGGGAACCCAACCUGCAACACUAAUGUCCUUCUAAAUUUAUUUAUAGAAAAUUCUUAGCUAUUUCUUUUUAAAUAGUGCCUUUUCACAUCCUCUGUUCUUUUUUUUUCAGGGACAUCCACUAAAUGCAUGUUGCAUCUCUUCAUUCUUUCAAUCACUCUUUAAAAAAAAAUUUCUAUCUUUCCAUCUCACUCUUUGAAUUUGCUGACUUCACCUUCACACAGAUCUCAUUUGCUAUUUAACCCAUCUGUUGACUCUUACACCUUUAUAACUUCCUUCAUUUGGCUUUGAAGACCUAUACUCAUCUGGUGUUCUUCCUGUAUUUCUGGUUGUUUUGUUUCAGUCUUGUUUGCUGGUUCCUCUUCAGUGUCCAUCCUCCUAAAUGAUGAAGUCAUGGGACUCAGUUUUUUUGUUUUUUUGUUUUUUUUUUUUUUUUGCUUUUGCUUUUUUAGGGCCACACUCGUGGCAUAUGGAGGUUCCCAGGCUAGGAGUCGAAUCUGAGCUACAGUUGCCAGCCACAGCCACAGCCACACCAGAUCUGACCUGCAUCUGCAACCUAUACCACAGCUCAUGGCAAUGCUGGAUCCUUAACUCACUGAGUGAGGCCAGGGAUUGAACCCACGUCCUCACGGAUGCUAGUCAGAUUCGCUUCCGCUGUGCCACGACGGGAACUCCAGGGCUCAGUUCUUGAACCUUUUCUCUUUUUCACAGUUUAAAUCACUUUCCAGAUGAAGUCAUUAGUCUUACGACUUCAAAUACCAUAGAUAUGGUGAUAACUUCCAAACGUAUCUCUCUCCAGCUCAGACAUCUCCCCUAGACUCCUAGCCCGUAUACAUCUUAUACCCCAGAAAUGCUGGAUUAUGUGCUUUGAAAAUUAAAUGAGAAAGCACAUAUGAAAGUAUUCAUUGGCACUUAGCAGGCUCACAACAAACAGAUGUUGUGAAUUGGACACAUCUCUACAUGGCAUCAAAGUCAAUUUCUUUUAAAAAUGCAAAUUAAAUUCCCUAAUGCAUUUGUUUUCAAAGGCUUAUACAUAUUAUUGGCCUGCCAGUCUGUGAGUCUGUAUUUCCAUUUCUCAGACGAAACAGUGUAAGCUCUAGGAAGCCAACAGUGAUUCACACUCUAGACUCAGAGUCCUACCCUACCAGAGGACCUUCUGCUCUGCAUGGCUUCUCUCGGUACACGUGAUGACAUUCACGACUGGCCUUGGUGUAUGGGAAUAAACCUCCAGGGGCCUUGGGGAAAUGGAGUUUUUCCCCUUCCCUCCCUCCAUGUUACGUAUCACAGAUAGGCUCAUUUAGUUCCAUUCUAACUCCCUUGUAACACACCUCACUGAAUACUUUAGAUAAAAAAGAAAGACUACAUAUUUCCUAGACUCCUUGACAGCAAGAGUUCUGAGUCCACCAAGGAAACACACCUGGGAAUUUGGAAGGUAGAAUUAAGGUGGAGACCACACUUCUGCUAUUUUCUGUUAUUUCUGCUGGCAUGUAUGCAAAUAGAGAUGGGUUGGGUUCUUCUGGGACAGCAGUGGCAGGAGUCCCAAUGUCUGGUUCUUAGCUUUGUGGGUGGCAGAGGUAACAGCUCCCUUUGUGGGCCACUUCUACCGUCUUGUUCUAAGGGUCAUUCUUGGAAGCUCAACCUAGGGUUCUUCCUGUUUACCCUUCAAACAAUUUUGUAAGCACACAAUUCCCUUAUUAAAAGGUUGUUGAAGGC